CUUAUUGAGAGUUUGAUCCUGGCUCAGGAUGAACGCUGGCGGCGUGGAUAAGGCAUGCAAGUCGAGUGGGUUUAGACCCACGGCAAACGGGUUCGGAUAACAUAGGAAUCUUCCCUAAAGUCGUGAAUAAUCCAGAGAAAUUUGGAAUAAUGCGCGAUAUGCUCUACGGAGUAAAGAUUUAUCGCUUUAGGAGGAGCCUGUGUCCUAUCAGCUAGUUGGUGAGGUAAUAGCUCACCAAGGCUAUGACGGGUAGGGGGUGUGAGAGCACGGCCCCCAACAUUGGAACUGAGACACUGUCCAAACACCUACGGGUGGCUGCAGUCGAGAAUAUUCCACAAUGGGCGAAAGCCUGAUGGAGCGACGCCGCGUGCGGGAUGAAGGUUUUCGAAUUGUAAACCGCUUUUUUCAGGGAAGAACUACGGUGACUGUACCUGAAGAAUAAGAGGUUACUAACUCUGUGCCAGCAGUAGCGGUAAUACAGAGACCUCAAGCGUUAUCCGGAUUUAUUGGGCGUAAAGGGCAGGUAGGCGGAUAUGUUAGUCGGAUGUUAAAUCUCGGGGCUCAACCCCGAACAGGCAUUCGAAACGGCAUGUCUAGAGGAUGUGAGAGAUCAGUGGAAUUUAUGGUGUAGUAGUGAAAUGCGUUGAUAUCAUAAAGAACACCCAAGGCGAAGGCAACUGAUUGGCACAUAUCUGACGCUGAGCUGCGAAAGCGUGGGGAGCGAAUAGGAUUAGAUACCCUAGUAGUCCACGCCCUAAACGAUGCAUACUAGGUGCAGGGAGAAUCGACCCUUUCUGUGCCGGAGCUAACGCGUUAAGUAUGCCGCCUGGGAAGUACGAGCGCAAGCUUAAAACUCAAAGGAAUAGACGGGGAUCCGCACAAGUGGUGGAGCAUGUGGUUUAAUUCGACAGUAAGCGAGGCACCUCACCAAGGUUUGAAAUCUAGCUGCAGAGCCCAGAAAUGGGAUGUCCUUCGAGGGUGCUAGACCAGGUGCUGCAUGGUUGUCGUCAGCUCGUGUCGUAAGAUGUUCCGUUCAGUCGGGAAACGAGCGCAACCCCUGUGAAGUGUUAUAUAUGUCACUUCAGACUGCCCUCUCAUUUGCGCACGAAGCGCGCAAAUGGAGUGAGUAGUUUGUAGAUGGUAGUUGGUAGAGAAUUUUUCUACUUACUAUUCACUACGUACUACAAACUGUAUUCGCGUUUCGCGAAUAAGUGAGAGGGAGGAAGGCGGGGAUGACGUCAAAUCAGCAUGGCCCUUUGACACCUUGGGCGACACACGUGCUACAAUGGCCGGAAUAAAGGGUCGCCAAAUCGCAAGAUGGAGCUAAUCCCAAAAAUUCGGUCUCAGUUCGGAUUGAAGGCUGCAACUCGCCUUCAUGAAGCUGGAAUCACUAGUAAUCGUUGAUCAGCCACGCAACGGUGAAUGCGUUCUCGGAUCUUGUACUCACAAUAAAAGCGCCGGGCAGUUUAUCCCGCACUUU
rnacentral:rRNA from 1 species